AUCACUUCUCGGCCUUUUGGCUAAGAUCAAGUGAAGUAAUUUUGAAUAAUUUAUUUUUAAAAAAUUAAUUUGUAUGUAUUGUUUUAGGGGUAUCUAACUAUCAAGUAGAAGAAGAUAUAGGAAAAUUGAAGUCCUGUCUCACUGGCUUCCUUCAG
ensembl:snRNA U2 U2 spliceosomal RNA